rnacentral:lncRNA from 1 species
CUGAAUGUGCAGUUCCUUGAUUGACCUGUCCUGAUGCAGUGCCUGACUGUAGUUCUGCAGCUCCACUGAAGAAGAGGCACUGAGGACUAGAGGCAGCCAGGGGAUUGCAACUCAAAGAGGUUUUCUAGAACCAGUUACUUCCAAAUUAUGUUCAAUUAGGCAACAGAACUAAAGAAUAUGCCUCUGAUCUACUUAUUUCUCAGCCUGAAUGCUGACUUCAUAGACUUUCAAAACAAAGUAAUAGGUGAGGAGCAAAGGAAGUAGUUCUGCUGACGGUUCAGGACCUGCUGUGUGGGUAGGGUGGUUCACUAGUCAUCCUGAAAGAGCAUGAGAAGGAGAAAUACUGUCUGUGGCUGACUUCGGCCUUACACAUGAUCACCCUCUCCCUGAAGGCUGUUGGACGACUUGCUAAAUGCAGCAAAUCCUGUUGAAACCUGCAAAGUUGUUAUAAAAACAGAUGGACCAGGACUUCCACAAUAACUGUUUGGAUGGGCAGGCUCACCUCUGCCCAAGGAAGUUCUGAAAACCUUUCUAUUCAAUCAAUAGACUACGUUUUGAAACAUUUAUCACACCUUGUGCUAAAGGUAGCUUAACUAUUGCAGUGAAGUGCCUAGACAGUUGGUUUGUCUUAACUUGUAGUAAUAAGAACAAAGGAAAUUUUGAUUCACUCGGUCGGGAUGAAAUGUAUCCAUAUCAUAGCAAUAUUAGGACCUUUUAAUCGUCUUUCCAUAAGAAAAGAUUAAAAUGCCUUAGUUAUGGGAGAUUAAAUGCUCAUUCAGUAAUUGCAAUGGACAGUAUGCUUUCAGAGUGGGAGAAUUAAAUUAAAAGAAAGACAACUCUGGAAAAUGUACU